UACGUAGGGUGCGAGCGUUAAUCGGAAUUACUGGGCGUAAAGCGUGCGCAGGCGGUUUUGUAAGCCAGAUGUGAAAUCCCCGGGCUUAACCUGGGAAUGGCAUUUGGGACUGCAAGGCUCGAGUGCGGCAGAGGAGACUGGAAUUCCUGGUGUAGCAGUGAAAUGCGUAGAUAUCAGGAGGAACACCGAUGGCGAAGGCAGGUCUCUGGGCUGACACUGACGCUGAGACGCGAAAGCGUGGGGAGCGAACAGG
rnacentral:rRNA from 1 species